GUGCUCACUUUGGCAGCACAUAUACUAAAAUUGGAAUGAUACAGAGAAGAUUAGCAUGGCCC
rnacentral:snRNA from 1 species